UCCAGACUCCUACGGGAGGCAGCAGUGGGGAAUAUUGCACAAUGGGGGAAACCCUGAUGCAGCGAUGCCGCGUGAGCGAUGAAGUAUUUCGGUAUGUAAAGCUCUCUCAGCAGGGAAGAAAAUGACGGUACCUGACUAAGAAGCCCCGGCUAACUACGUGCCAGCAGCCGCGGUAAUACGUAGGGGGCAAGCGUUAUCCGGAUUUACUGGGUGUAAAGGGAGCGUAGACGGCGAUGCAAGUCUGAAGUGAAAGCCCGGGGCUCAACCCCGGGACUGCUUUGGAAACUGUAUGGCUAGAGUGCUGGAGAGGCAAGCGGAAUUCCUAGUGUAGCGGUGAAAUGCGUAGAUAUUAGGAAGAACACCAGUGGCGAAGGCGGCUUGCUGGACAGUAACUGACGUUGAGGCUCGAAAGCGUGGGGAGCAAACAGGAUUAGAUACCCUAGUA
rnacentral:rRNA from 1 species